UACGAAGGGGGCGAGCGUUGUUCGGAAUUACUGGGCGUAAAGGGCGCGUAGGCGGCCGAUCAAGUCAGAUGUGAAAGUCCUGGGCUUAACCUGGGGACUGCAUUUGAUACUGAUUGGCUUGAAUGCAGGAGAGGAUAGCGGAAUUCCCAGUGUAGAGGUGAAAUGCGUAGAUAUCUGGAGGAACACCGGUGGCGAAGGCGGCGUUCUGGACUGCAACUGACACUGAGGAACGAAAGCCAGGGGAGCAAACGGG
rnacentral:rRNA from 1 species